rnacentral:tRNA from 1 species
UCCCAGGUAGCUUAAUGAUAAAGCACCCACCGGCAAUUGGGAGAUCUGGGUUCAAGUCCCAGUCCAGGCU